GUGGGGUCUCGAGCUCGUGUGGGGCGAGUAGCUGUUCCACUGGACACUUAGAGACCUUGGACUGGAGGUUGUUUUCUUGCAGCGAUCACAGUUUUAAUGGGCAGAGAUAUGAGCAUGUUGACUAAUCCUUGGUGAUCUCUGGUGCUUUUGAAUUGGGUGUUAACAAAAAAAUGACAUACUCCUGAGCAAGAGAAAGAACUUAAGGAUGAAAGGGAAAUGAUAAAUGGAAGUUGCUUACAAAUUCUUUAUUAGGUCAGCAAAACAACUAACUGCAUUUGCCUUGGAGGUGUUUUCUGAUUCAACACUUGUCCUAGCUAAAAGAAGACAUGAAAACAAUCAAAAUAUGGAGGUGUAUGUGCCAAUGUUUAUAGGUUAUGCAAAAUAAAUAGAGAAAAUGACAGUCACGAGUAAAACUUAACAGUUAGAAAAUGCAGAUAUUGAUAAAGGAAAUUAAAAGUUAUCUGAAAGGCAUCCUGUGCCAACAAUACAAAAAAAAUUCUUCAGUUUUUUUGGUGUCCUGGCAUCAAAGUGAAAUCAAAGCAGCAAUGGUGUCAAUAUAAGGUAAGGAUGAAAAAAUGUGGAAAAAAUAUGAUUAAUAAAUACUGCUGCAGUGUAUUAGAAAAAGGGCAGGUUUUGUUGAUGUCUUUCUUUUAUGGAGAAAUAUUUCUUCCAGCAACAUCUAGAUAGAACUUCAAAAUGGCACUUAAUAGUGUUUAAACAAGUGACUCUGUCAAAGCUUUAUUUAUUUAAGACAGUCAAGAAGAUUGUCUGGAGGUGGGUGAUAUUUGUUCUUAGUGCAUCUCAGCAUAGGAGUGAAGUUUGAGAUAUGCAGAAAAGAGCUUUUGGAUUGCUAGAAGCUACAAACCAUGAAUUUGGAUAACUGUGACCUUGUUUAGCCUGUCACAAAUUUUAAGCAAAAUCAUGAAAGAAAUGAUGUGGUACGUGAUUAAUAAAUGGUGAAGUGGCUAUGCAACUAAUGUCUACCAGCACAGUUAGGUAGAACAGCAUUCUUUUAUGUUUUUUUCCCCUAUUGCUUUCUGCAGUUACCAGAUUGAUGUGAAAAGGUUCAGGCAAUUUUUUUGAUUGCUGUUUUUGAAGGUCAGAAGCUCCCUAAGGAACAGGUCCAUUCUUUCUCACUGGAGAGCUUUAAUUUAGCACUAGGUGCUGUUAUGAAAGAUUAGCAGUUGCUUAAGCCAAAAUGCUUGAGCUCAAAACAGAAUUUAAUGGGGAAGGUUCACUUCCAUUAUUGUCUUACUAUCCUUAAUACAUCCUUUUGAUUUCCUGGUGUUGUACCAGGAAGCUGUUUAUAGAAGCUGUUCUCUGCCCCAUGCAGCAGUGGCUGUAACAUAUGCUUUGGUUAACCAUUUUCCCUUGGUACUUUUGCAGUUGCAUACUGUGCUAUACUUCGUUACAUUGUUCUGCUGUUGUCUCAGAUCAGGGCAAAGAUAGGAAUGCAGGUGAAGAGAUAUUCAGGGUACCCAGCACUCAUAUCAACACAUCCAUCUGUAGCCACCUGAGUGUUGUUGCAGCUCCUGGGCAGCACCUGUAUUGCCAGUUCUGUCUGAUGGGCAGGGGUUCAGGAGCAGGAGCAUUGGGAGGAGCAUAUGAUGAGUGUCAUGGUGCUUGUCCUCAGUGCCAUUAAAUUAUUGGUGGCAGCAGUAGAGGGGACUGGGCUCAUCAGUGUUCUUUCAGGGUGGACCCUUGCUAUGUUUUGUUCAAGGACCCGUGAGUUUACUUGUGCUGAUGGCCUUUCUUUGCUCUCGGGCCCCCUCCUGGCUAUUCUCCACUGAUGGCAAAAGUUAGCAGCCAGAGUGCACUUCAGCCAUGACCAAUGCCCUUCCAGAACAGAACUUGAGAGCAGGUUUGGGACGAACACUGUAUGGCGUUGGCUGAUUUGUUGUCCUAAAACUGGUCUCUGGCAGAGAUUUGGCUCUGAACCUAUUCAGGAUUUGCAGAGACCAUUUUGAGCUUUAGGGGGCACCUCUUUGUUGGUACUUUCUGCCACAUGUGGAAGCCUUAUUUUGCUCCAGUUUACUGGAGCAUGUCCUUGGAAGCUUUUUCAAGUUCUUCUGCAUCUUCUCCAGGAAAGAAGCAUGCAAAUGUAUCUGAAAGUUCCUCUCUAAGACAGUGUUCAUAGUUUGUCAGUCUUUGUUGUUACCUGUUGUUUGCAUACCUUUUGGCCUAGACAGUUUUUCUGGCUUAGAGGCACAUCUUUUUUCAGUACUUUUAUUUCUAUUAGUCCCCUUUUGGUUUUGGAGAUGUGUAGCAGACACAUUUUUCAGGCACUUGUAGCAGUGUCAGGAGCAGAGAAACAAGCCAAUGAGUUUCUUAUUCUUGGGACAGGACAGUUGGGUUUUGUAGCUUACAAGCCAGUCUUUAUAUUGUCAGAAUGACAGUUUUCUUUCUUACCCUCUGAGUAGUAAGUUAAGUCAUCCAGGGACUUGUGGUUAGAAUGUUUAAGGACAUGUUCCAGUCAAAGAACUUGGUCUACAUAACUCUGCUUUCCAGUCAGAUGUUACACAAUAGUGAAAUUGAAGUCCCAGUUUAGUUUAAUUAGAGUGGAAAAACAAAGCUUAAAUGAAAAAAGGGCAUCUUUCUGUAGGAAGUAGAGUCAGUUAGUAGAGACCCAUAAAUAUCUGGUUUGAUUAUUAGUGUGUAUCAUAGCCAAAAUAAAAGGUGUCUCUGGUCUAGGUGACUGCAGCAAAGGAAACGCGCUGCAGCAUAAAGGGAAACAACACCCUGAGGUGUCAGGAGGAAGGCACUGAGCAUGGCUGCUUGCCAGGACCUGUUCAGGCAGCUCUCCUUUGGGAGUUGAUCUUGAAAUUUUUUUAUGGGUUCCGUGAGUUCAAAGUGGUUCAGGAUUGCUCUUUCUUUGCAUAGCUUUUUUUUACUUUGAGGCUGGCUGGGUACCUGGUUGACUCUGUGGAGGGGAAUGGCUGUGGUAGAACCACUGACCUGUGGAUUGAGCCAGGCUUUAUGGCCUGGUGGGGAGCUGGGUAAUCCAGAACAGAGUUUUAAGUAAGAAAGAGUCUGUUGAGCUGGUGGCCUACUGGGGAAGCAGCUCUUGUUAGAUGGAGGAGCUGAAAGUUUCAAUCCUGUUUCAUGGUGGUGAAAAACCAAAACCUUAAAUGGCAGCCUCUGAUACCUCUUUGCAAACAUUGCGAUUGCCAGGCAUUGCACCUUCUCUGUCUUCUCCUGUUGUAGCAGUCCUCUUUACCUGUUGUAAGUACGCUAAAUAGUAAUACUUGGGCAUGCUGGCCCUGCAAUUCUGUCUUACCAACUAACAUGGACUAUACCAGGGUUUAAGCUUCAGCCCAUUUCCCCAACAACUGUAAAGGAGUGAUGGUGUGAGCCAGGCCUCAGGUGGUUUCCUAUGAAAGAAAUAGGGGAAAUCUUCAUCUCUUGUUAUUCCAUGGUAGUGUUAGGGCAGUAGGAAGCUGUGGUUGGGUUGCGCAGCGUGCACACUGGUGAGGAUCCAAGGGCAGCACAUAAAGAAGCGGGCUCAGUGUUUAGAACAGUGACGUGUUUUGUUUAUCCAGCCAUCUGUUACCCAUCUGGAAGUGCUCUGGCUACAGAUUUUGGGUUGUACUGUAGCCAAAGAUAGACUUUCUUCCCUGGGAUGAUGAAGACAAGAAGAUACUGAGGUGACUGCACAUCUGAAAGAGAAGUGAGGCAGUUGUCAUGCCCCUGUCUUUCUGGCAGAUGUUGUAUUAGCUAUCCCAGAGGCAUGAUGCUGCUCUGUGCCUGUGUGGGCUGACUCAGCUGGAAUGCUGGCAAGUGCCAUGGUGGGGCAUAGGUUAACAGGUGUUAAGUCUGUCACAAGUGUUUUCCCUUGCAGUAUGUAAUGAAGGCCACUGAUCUGCUAGAGCUCCUCUGUAUUGUAAAUAAAGCAAGGGUGAAUGGAUGGCUGAAAAAUUGCUACAGUGGUUGAGUUUAAAUGAGGCCAUGGGGAAACCUCUGCAGGCUUUGAAUAAUAACAGACAUACUACAGCCUGGCUCUAAGCGGGACAUGAGGCUGCUUCAUAAUGCUGAAUGCAGAAAAUCAACUCCUUGGUAAUUAACUUGUGUUGUCUUUUCCUGUAGCUGUAGGAAUCUUUGGAAGCCAGCAAAAGUGUGUACUGCACCUUUGGCGGUAACUUUAGAACUGCUCUGUUGCUAAGGGUGAUCAUCCAGAAGAGCCAAAAGCUGUGGACCGUGGGAGUGACACCAAGGUUACUGAAGACUGAACUGAGCCAAGAGCAACCCUGUCAAAUCUCCAUCUUUGCACCACGAAAACUGGCUACAACUAUAUUAGGAGCUUUUUUCGUGCAACUGUGCUGCAAAAAUUAUGAAGAGACGAGCUAGAAACUGUAUCCUUUGAUUGCUCUGUGUGCCUUACCUCUUUUUUGAGUUC